GGAUGACGCUAAAGCGGACAGCCGACACCACGCCGUUUGGGUAAGAAGCGGCCCAAAUGAGUAGGAGGGCGUGGCGGUCUUUUUUGUUACGAAGGUGUGGGCGCAAGCCUCACUGAAACGGCCGUUAGUGCAGAUCUUGGUGGUAGUAGCAAAUAUUCAAGCGAGAACCUUGAAGGGCGAAGCGGGGAAGGGUUCCACGCGAACAUUGAUUGGGCGUGGGUGAGUCGUUCCUAAGCCGGGUGGUAAUCGUUCGUACGAUCGGCGAAAGGGAAGCGGGUUAAAAUUCUCGCACACGGAUGUGGAGGCGGUGACGCAAACCGAGGCAAAGACGUCGGUGACGGCGCUGGGCAGAGUUGUCUUUUCUGUUUGACCUGUGUGACGCAUGGUGUGGAAUCCGAUUAUCGGGAGAAACACAUGCCGAGGGGCAGAGCGCCGGGAUUUUCCGGCGUCCAGCACGCCGUCAACGAACCUUGAAAAUUUGUCUGCGAUAGUUGAGGGGAGAAACGCCGGUUACCCG
rnacentral:rRNA from 1 species